rnacentral:rRNA from 1 species
AGGACGAACGCUGGCGGCGUGCUUAACACAUGCAAGUCGAGCGGAAAGGCCCUUCGGGGUACUCGAGCGGCGAACGGGUGAGUAACACGUGAGCAAUCUGCCCUUAGCUUCGGGAUAGCCCCGGGAAACCGGGAUUAAUACCGAAUAUGACCUUGGCCGACAUCGGCCUUGGUGGAAAGUUUUUCGGCUAGGGAUGAACUCGCGGCCUAUCAGCUUGUUGGUGGGGUAAUGGCCUACCAAGGCGACGACGGGUAGCCGGCCUGAGAGGGCGACCGGCCACACUGGGACUGAGACACGGCCCAGACUCCUACGGGAGGCAGCAGUGGGGAAUAUUGCGCAAUGGGCGAAAGCCUGACGCAGCGACGCCGCGUGGGGGAUGAAGGCCUUCGGGUUGUAACCCCGUUUCAGCAGGGACGAAGCGAGAGUGACGGUACCUGCAGAAGAAGCGCCGGCUAACUACGCGCCAGCAGCCGC